AGAGGGAUUGGAAAAGGAGAGAAAGCCAGAGAAGAGGUGGGGACAUAUAAUUCCUAUCUAUCUAUCUAUCUAUCUAUCUAUAUUACUGAAAUAAUCAAUUUUAAAACUUUUUCUGUGAAUUAUUUUCCUACUUUCAAAGCAGUAAUCAUGAAAAUAAUCAUACUAUCUGGCUGUAGUGGAGCACACCUUUAAUCCCAACACUUGGAAGGCAGAGGUAGGCAGAUCUCUGUGAGUUGGAGGCCAGCCUGUUCUACAUAGUGAAUACUAGAACAGCCGGAGCUACAAAGUGAGACUCUGUUUCAAAAAAACAACAACAAAAGCAAAAAGAAUCUUGCCUGUUCGAGGUCCAGUUUGUCUUGCACAAUGGGCAACAUUGUACAUUGCCUGUGACUAAACAGACAUGUCUUGAGACUUGGUGGGUGUCUGACACUAGGCUAAGGUACUAACAUCUCUGAAACAAAAAUCCAAUUUGCUGGCGGGUAGCUCUUGACUCUUACAAACUUCUGUGAGAAAUGGGUCAUUUAAGAAAAAGGAAAACAUGCAAAUUAUGGGAACUGUUCCUAGAGGGCAUGGUUGACUUUGGCUUGGGAUGCCCUCUGGAAGCUAAAUUCUCAGGAGUAUUGCUUGGGUUCUCACCCUUGGAAGUCUUUCCUUCUGUCUCACUGGACGAGGAGACAAGUACUUGGAAUUCUUGGCUUACUUUCUGGAGCUUUUAGAAAGAACAAGAUCAAAACAUUCUCUCCCCACAGCAAAAACCAGAUUACACACAAAAACCUGCAAAGUUGACUUUUCUUUGGAAAAGUCAAGCCCAGAGUUGACUGUAACCCCAAGUGUUCCAUCUUGGGAUUUUCAGUGCCAGCUUCCUUCCACAGUAGUAUCUCUGAAUGUGAAGGUGUUCGAGGCCUGCAUGCGAGGGCUCCUGCCCUCCCUAUCUCCUUUUCUAAUCUUCUUAUUAAAACUCCCCUUUCCAGUGCACAUGCAGGCAUAUUAAUGCUCACACUCUCCUCCCAGCUUCUCUCAGGACCUCAAGCUCCACACUGCCUCAUCACCCCAGCAGGUGCUGCAACAGCAGAAGGUCGACUUCUAGCUUCAGGUUGCAAACAGCAAAAAGAGAGAAACAAAUAACAGAGGAGAAUUAAGGAGACUGAGUCAGAAAACUCCCUUCAAAUCCUCUGACUUCUAUUAGUUGAGGUUUGGUUUGGUUUGGUUUGGUUUGGUUUGGUUUGGUUUGGUUUGGUUUGGUAUUCCUUCCAAUCCAAAAUGUGCUCGAGGGUAAUGAGGCUUGACUCUAGGGUCAAUUUCACCCAAGGGCAUGGUAAAUCUGAAAGUUUGAUACUUUGUCCAAACAUGCUUGUGUCUAGCAACAUAGUUCCCAUGGACUUACCCUUCAGCAGAUGUCACUGUCCUAUCUAGGACCAUGCUGUCCUCCAUCAUGGGCCCCUGCAAGAACCACUUGAAGGAAGCUCUGCUCUGGCUUGAAGGUGCUGGGUUGGAUCAUAGAUGGAAAAACCUCCCUUGGGAGUUGGACUUCCAGAACUCUCUGUGAAGCAAGCCAAGCUGCUAUGGACCGUUCACACGGCCCAUCUUUUCUUAUGUCUUCAUGACUACCUUACCUCAACCUGACCCUCAGAAGGGAUGGCUAUCAAACCUUAUAUCCAAAAGCCUUCAUUUUGAAGUAAGGAAGUAUGGAGCUAGAAGGGGGUGGGAGAUUCCCAGCCACUCAGAGUCCCUAUCCCCCUACUCCACCAUCUUGCAUAUAAGAAAUAUGGGGCUCAGUUAAGGCCCCUGCAAUUGUUCAAAUCACAGAGAGGGCUUUAGUAAAACUAGAACAAAUAGAACCCAGUCACCAUGUACUGCCCAAUCCUUCUGGAAUCUUCCCCUUAGACUGGGGAAGGGAAAGGGCUUGGAGAUCAGUGUUCAUAUACU
rnacentral:lncRNA from 1 species